UAAGGCCCAAGAGGCAGACAUCCUGCAGCAGACUGAAAAGGCAGAAAACCAGUUGCAUGAAUGAAAUGAGAACAUGAAGACUGCUCCCUAAAAAAAAAUUGAAAGUUCUCAGCUGACCGUGUGUCAGGCAAUGACAGAAAUGUCAAGAUGAGGGUGAGGCAGAGGACAAGGACGCAGGAAAGGUGGUCCUGCCUGCAUCUACAGUCUGAUCAUCAGGACGAAGAAACAGUGAGAGGAACCCCAGGAUGAUCAAAAAUGGAAGAAUUAUGCCAAGAUGAGACGACAAAAAGCCCCAAACAGAAAAAGAAGAGUCAGACCAAAGAAAAGAAAGAAGAACGGCUUUGACUAAUUCCAAAGGUAACCUUUCUGAAUUGCAACGUCUCCAUAGACACUGUUAAAGCUGUGAAAAGAGAUAAGAGAUAAAGUUCUUUAUUUCUCCCCACGCCAGGGGAAAUUUACAUUGUUACAGCAGCUUAUGUAACAGUAGACGUAGUGAUAAGAAUAAAAUAAUAAUAGAACAAUAGUAAUAAUAUUUACAUUAUAUACAAGGGUGAGAGAUGAGGAUAAAGUGGCUUAACAGAAAAAAUAAAAAUAAAGUUUAAAAGUGCAAAGAUGAAAUCUAUGUUCAGACAAACUGUGUGACAUCCUGAUAUCUUGAGUUAUUACUCCAAAUAAAAAGGUGGCUUUAAACAGUCUUCUGCAUCAUUUCAUUGUCUAUUUGUUAACACUUGUAAUAAUUGUGUGUUUCACCUCAGCACAAACAGCUGGUGGAGAGGCUCUGUUACCUGUCUGUCCUGUGUCUGCUGUCCUGUUCUGCUGUUCUGCUGUCCUGAAGGAAUGUGAGAGCAUUCUUUAGCUCCACAGUGCUCCAGUAGAUAGUAGAGCCUCCUAUUUACAGAUGUAUCUCCACAGAUAGGAGCUGGAUGCAGCUGAAGCAUCUCAUAGUUAUUUGCAGGACAAAUAGGACUUUAAUACAUUGGAUUUGUAUUGCUUUGAUACAUGAAUAAGACAGGUGUGCUUACGAUCAGUCUGCCAAGCAACAGUGACAAGCAACAUUCAAACAUAAACACUAAGGCAUUGAAGAUUAUAAAAAUAAAUUCAAGAUUGUCCCAGAAGCACUUUGUUCAGUACCAUGAUAGAACUAUGUUCUUGUUUCGUACUGGUAAAAUGUUGUUAAGGUCUUGU
ensembl:lncRNA